rnacentral:lncRNA from 10 species
CAAACAUAGUGUUUGUACCACUUCCAGCUGAAGUACAAAACAUGUAAAUCCCUCAAGGAAUGGAAAAAACAAUGCUCCUAAAGAUGUCAGAAAGACAUCAAUUCAAAAUUCUGCUAUGACGUAAUGAUACCUUCCAGGGAUGCUUUAAAAUCAUGCUUUAAAACCCUGAAGUGUAUCCAGUGACACUCAGCUGGAUGCCAUCAUGCUUGCAAAUGCAUACAAAGGCCCUUGAGUAUUUACUGGGCUAUGGGCUACUCUGAUGCCUCCUCUACACUCAGGGCCAUCCCAUUGGCCUUGCAACAAUUAAGAAUGAGGAAGAUCUGUAUCCAGAAAAGGGAGCCCUGGAGAACAGAAAGGAAGAAUGGUCUAGAAGAGCAUUGUGGAGUGGUUCUCUCAUCUUCUCAGCUCCUUUUAGAAGAAAAUUCAAGAUCUGGCAACACUGUGCCCAAGCUUCUCUAAGGAAGAGAUUGUCAAAGUGUGGUGCCUGGACCAGCAGCAUUAGCAUCACCUGGGACCAGUUAGAAAUGAAGAUGCUCAGGCUCCAUCCCAGACCUGCUGGGGCUGGGGCCCAACAAUCUGUGUUUUAACAGGCUCCCUGUGUGACUGUGAUACGUGAUGCUCCAAGGUAACAGUGGUACUUGCAAAUCUUAAGUUUCUGGCUGAGCACUUUCAGUGUGGGGGAAAAUACUCUAUAGAACAUCACAGCCAGGGAAGGCAAAAUAUUCUCCAUAGCUUCAUUAAUUAUACUGGGAACAUCAAGUAGCCCCUGGGAAAAUCUCUACAGAUGCACUCCUGAGAGGGAAUAUUACAGGGAUUGGAGAUAAAAAUCCCUAAGGAAAAUUAGUGGCUAGUAACCCACAGAGAAGAGGAAAUUAAAUAUAUUUUAGAUAGGACUGCACAAAGGCUUAAUGCAACUUAAGAUAUGCAGAUUGAUGUGUAAUAUAAAUAUAUUUACUCUUAGCAAAAGCUUCCCUGAAAGCCA